UACGUAGGAGACGAGCGUUGUCCGGAAUUACUGGGCGUAAAGCGCGUGUAGGCGGAUGAGCAAGUCUGCUGUGAAAGCUCCUGGCUUAACCGGGAGUGGUCGGUGGAAACUGCUCGUCUGGAGGACGGUAGAGGUAGGUAGAAUUCCCGGUGUAGUGGUGAAAUGCGUAGAGAUCGGGAGGAACACCAGUGGCGAAGGCGGCCGGCUGGGGGGUGACCUGACGCUGAGGCGCGAAAGCGUGGGGAGCGAACAGG
rnacentral:rRNA from 1 species